rnacentral:rRNA from 1 species
AUUGAACGCUGGCGGCAGGCCUAACACAUGCAAGUCGAGCGAGCGGCGGACGGGUGAGUAAUGUAUGGGGACUGCCCGAUAGAGGGGGAUAACUACUGGAAACGGUAGCUAAUACCGCAUACUAUCGGAUAACCCAUAUGGGAUUAGCUAGUAGGUGAGGUAAUGGCUCACCUAGGCGACGAUCCCUAGCUGGUCUGAGAGGAUGAUCAGGCACACUGGGACGGAGACACGGCCCAGCCGCCCAGGGAGGCAGCAGUGGGGAAUAUUGCACAAUGGGGGCAAGCCUGAUGCAGCCAUGCAGCGUGUAUGAAGAGGGCACUAGGGUUUUAAAGUACUUUCAGUCGGGAGGCGUUACCGACAGAAGAAGCACCGGCUAACUCCGUGCCAGCAGCCGCGGUAAUAC